rnacentral:misc_RNA from 1 species
GACGUAGGGGGCAAGCGUUGUCCGGAAUUAUUGGGCGUAAAGCGCUCGUAGGCGGGUAUUUAAGUCCGUGAAGAAAGACCUGGGCUCAACUCAGGGACCGGCACGGAUACUAUUUACCUUGAGUAUAGGAGAGAAGAGUGGAAUUCCACGUGUAGCGGUGAAAUGCGUAGAGAUGUGGAGGAACACCAGUGGCGAAGGCGACUCUUUGGCCUAUAACUGACGCUGAGGCGCGAAAGCGUGGGGAGCAAACAGG